CCCCCUCCAAACCGACCUUCGACAACCGCCUAUCGUCCCCUAUAAAUAGCCAGCGAGGUCUCCUCCCUCCACACACAUGAGCCGAGCUCCUCUCUCUCUCUCUCCUGUUAUGGCGACCACCGCCGGCCAUCGAUCGAUCUCCAUCCCUAGAGCAUCCUAAAUCAAAUCCAUUCGCCACCAGCCUCCCCGUACACCGAAGAACCCAUUUUAGCCCUUUUCCCCUUCACUCCCACUUUCAAUCGAGCCUCACCGGAGCUCUCUCUCUCUCUCCGGUUCAUGCCAUUGUGCUCGCCGUUCCGGCCUCCUCUCUCACUCCCGUGUCCAGCCACCACACUCCCUAGGUGCGCAACACCCGGGAACACCCUAUGCCGCCCGCGGCGAAGCUGUUCCACCACUGGAACACCGGCGCCCCUUCCUCCCUCUCCUCUCCCUCCUCUCGAGCCUCUGUGUAACGGGAGGAAGAAGAAGACGUGAAGAAGGAGAGAGAAAGAGAAAAGAAGAAAGAAAAGAAAAGAAAGGAAAGGAAAAAGUAUUGACAGUGGUUCCUUUUGUAAGUCCUCGCGCAGGAGGCAAUCUUAUGCCGAGCAGGGCAUCCUAUGAUAUUUAUCGAGGCGCAGGUAAAUAUAUUGAUUUUUACUCAUGAGUUGUGUGUGUGAUUUUAUGGAAACCUGGUUGAGAUGAUGUGGGGUCUCUCAUCCAGUUCUCUCUAAAAACCCCAGGAAUGCCAGAACUCCUCUCGCUGCUGAUAACGUUACGUUCAGAGCGCAUGGGGACUAGAGUUCAUGGAACAGGUGCCACUAUUGUUAAUAACCUAAUACUAGGCCAUGACUAAGCUAAUGAAUAUUGGCAAGUCGUGGAUUGCGGGUAAAGUGUACAUCUACUGCAGUAGAAUAUUCAUGAAACUAUUCGAAUAGCCGUGCUCAUGGAAUUGAGUACCGGGACUCAUAUGGUAUUUGGUUAGAAACCUAAUUCAAGAUUUUACUAAAUAUUGUUGCAUUAAAGUCAUUACAGGCUUUCUUAUUCUAUAUCCUCUGCUUUCUGCAAUUAAAUCUAGCCCUACUCAAAUACUACUAUUUCAUACAUUCAUGUUGAAUAUAAUAGCUUGCUGAGUACGUUGUACUCACCCUUACUUCAACCCCACCUUUUUUAGAGUCAAUUUGGAGUUCUUAUCGAAGCUGGGAGUUCAAUCACAUAAGUUAGUUCCCUUUAAACCUAGUCUUCAAGUCUAGUAUUGUUAGAUGGUUUAACUCUAUAGCAAAACAUUAGAGUUGGUUCAUUCUAUAGCUCCUGCUGUAUUAGUUAGCCACAAGUUUGUAAAUAUCCAUAUAUUUUAUCUUCUCUGGAGCCUUGUUCAAAUGUAUGCAAUGAAGAUCCAGAUUGUUGAACCUGUAUCAAUCUACUGAUCCA